rnacentral:tRNA from 1 species
AGGCUUUGUAGCUCAGGUGGUUAGAGCGCACCCCUGAUAAGGGUGAGGUCGGUGGUUCAAGUCCACUCAGGCCUACCA